UUCUAUUGUAAAGACCUCACAAAUGAAUAAUUCAUUAAGUAAACAUUUAUAUUAUUUUAUUUUGAGUUGACUGCUAACAGGAAGGGGAAAACAAGCAGACUGAAACAGAUUUUGUGUUCUAAUUUUAAAUACUAUUGAUAUUUAGAUAUGUUCAAGAGUUUUUUUUUUGCCACAUGUAUGUAAUACUGUGUGAUUCUGUUUUAGGAUCACUGCAAAUCUAGGAGCUUAAAAAAUACAACAAUAAUUGAAUACAUUGUAUACAAGCUUUACAACUAAAGCUAAUUCUGUUCCAUAUUAUGUAUAUUUAAGUCAGUUUUGUGCUGUUAUGGUAGAAAACCUCAAUCUGGAUAGUUUAUAAAGAACAGAAAUUUAUUUUCUCACAUUUCUGGAGGUUGGGAAAUACAAGAACACGACACUUACAUGUUUCGUGUCUGGACAUGGCUACUGUCUGUCUCCAAGAUGGCAUCUUGAUGUUGCAAUCUCCAGAGGGAAGGAAUUCUGUUUAGAAGAAGGUGGAAAAGCUAAAGAAAUGAACUUCUUUUAUUGAGUGUAUUAAUAAGGACAUCUAAUCCCAUUUCUGAGGCCAAAAUCUUCAUUGCUUAAUUGCCUUCUCAAUGCUUACCACAUUGGUACUAACUACACAUUUAAAACAAACAUAGAGAAAUCAGACAUCAGACAUAUUUCCAUCCCUUUUUGCCUGCUAGUUAAAAAAAUGGUUCCUUUUUAAAGGAAACUCAGUGUGUUCCUGCUCUUUCUAGACAGACUCUUGUCAGAUUGCUGUAUGUAGAUUGACUCUGUUGAAUUCACAUUUGUUUUAGCUUAUUUUAUUCAGUUUCAUUGUAGAGCAAGAAGUUGGAUUGUUUGCUAUUUUAACAUAAUUUCCCCUUAAAUAUAUAAUACUACAGUAUUCUGCAUUUGUGUAUAUACUUAUUUUUACCAGUGAACUUUAUAUAGGUUUUAUUGGAUUCUUGUUUGAACUCAAAGUACUCCCAUUAGAAUUUCUUGUGGUUCUGAAGGCAGGGCAAGUGGUGCUGAACUCUUUUUUCAUUUGGAAAAGUUCUUACUUGUUUUCUUUCUGGAAGACAGUUUUUCCAGGUAGAGUUUUAUUUGGUUGGCAGCUUUUUCUUUCUUUCUUUUUUUUUUUUUUUUGGUUAAGUUCUUUACUGUCGACAUCUUUUUUGGGGGGGGUAAUUGCACUCAGGACUUCACAUUUACCAGGCAGGCACUGUGCUGCUGAGCUAUAUUUCCAACUCUUAACUGUUGCCAUCUUGUACAGCUUUUUAGGUCAUUCUUAUCCUUUGUUACUAAACUCUUGUCUCUUAGUGGAAUAAUUGCUUCUACUGUCUUCUAGUAUAUAAGGUUUUUGCUGAGAAAUCUGCACAAUCUUUUAAAGGUUUCUUUGCACCUGUGCUACGUUUUACUGGUUGCUUCCAAAGUUCUGGCUUUGUUGUUAACUUCUGGAAGUUUGGUUAAAAUGUGUUUCUGUAUGGGCUUCUUUGAACUUAUCCUAAUGUAGUGCUUUGGGUUUCUUCAAUCUGGAUGUUCAUUUUGUUUCUUAGAUCCUUGAGAAGUUUUGAUCCAUGUUUCUUCAAGUAAACUUUCUAGUCCUUUAUAUUCUUUUGUGACUUUUAUAAUGAGUAAAUGGUACACAUGGUAGUAGAGACCAAAAUUCCUUUAGGAUUCUGUAAGAUUUUUUUCUUCCUCUCACUGGAUAAUUUCGUAUGACCUGUUUUCAAGUUUAUGGACCAUAUUCUUUUGCUUUAUCAGGUCUACUGUUGAACCCCUCUAGUAAAUUUUUCAAUUUUGUUACUGUAGUUUUUACCUCUAAAAUUUUUAAAAUUUUUUGGUGUUUCAUUUUGUUGUUUACCACUUCUAUCUCCGUUGAUAUUCUUAUUUUUGAAAUUCAUCCUUCAGCUCAUUGCACGUCAAUAGUGUAAUUACUUAAUUAAUUUUCAGAUAAUUUUGUAUUCUUCCAUUUCCUUUGCAUUUGAUUCUGUAGAUUUAUUUUGCUCUUUUGGUUUUGCUGUUUCCCUGUUUCUUUGUGUAUUAUAGAACCAUUGGGACCAUAUUUUUUUAAAAAAUAGCUACGUGUUUCAGACUUUAUGAGCUAGAUUUAUGCAGGAAAAACCCUUCAUCAGUCACCCCCAGUUGGAGAUUCAAGGGCUUUUCUUACCUCUUCUAUGAGUGUGUCUUUGGAUUUAUAUUGGUAAAUUUUCUUUUUUUUUUCUCUUUCUUUCUUUUUUUAAUCUGUCUGUCUGUCUGUCUGUCUUUUUAUGUUUCUUUGAUUCUGGGGAUUGAUAUGUAGGUAAAUUAUUGAUUUGAACGAUUCUCUCAUCUUUUAGCAACAUGUGAUCUCUUGCUCCCUCUGCUGUCUUUCUGUAGAUUUGCAGAUUCUUUGACACUCCUGCAAGUGCUUUUGUUUUUGGUAGCCUUAAACAUUCUGGAUGCUGGAACCUACUUGUGCUCUAAGUUGAGCAAUUGAACUCUUAGGCAGUGUCCCCAAAAGAUGAAUUCUUGGAUGCAUACUCUAUUUCCCACCAAGAGUAAGGUUGCCAACUUGUAUUGUCCUCUGUUUCAUAUAUUCCAGGGCUUGUGCAGCAGCAGCCAGCAGCAGCAGUAGCAAUAGCUUUUAUUCUCAGCAGCCCCAGGGAUUGGCAUCUCCAUAGGAGGACAGAGGAUCUGGAACUUCUUAUUCUGCCAUCUUACUGAUAUUGCUCCAUUCUUCAAUGUUCUUUUGCAUUAUUGAUUUUUUUCUCUUGGUACUUAUUUUUGUAUAAUAUAAUUGUUUUCUUUUGACUGGAACAUUUCCUGUUUGUCACUAAAUAAGCAAAUGUCUCUGGCUGGGUGUGGUGGCACAUAGUUAUAAUCUCAGCACAUGGGAGGCUCAGACUGGAGGAUAACUUCGAGUUCGAGGUCAGCCUGGGCUACAUAGUGAGUUCAAGGCCAGCCUAAACUACUUAGUGAGACUCUGUCUAAAAAAAAAAGAAAAACAAAUUCUGUCUCUGGGUAUACUACAAUUGUGUGUCACAUAAUAAUGGGAUACAUUCUAAGAAAUGUAUUGUUGGGUAUCAUAGAAUGUACAUUCCCAAACUUAGAUGGCUAUAAUUUCACUAAACAAUAUAAUUCUAGGGUCAUUUACUAUAUAUGUAGUUCAUUGUUUACUGAAAUGUUACCAUGUAGUACAUGAGUAUAUUUUAUGCAAUUCUUUAUUAGCAGUGUAAGUCACUUGACCAGUCAAGUCCGGAAUGUCAGUAGCUUCAGUUUCUUUUCAUUCUUUUGUAGGACUAGGACCACUAGAAGUAUGAAUGAGACACAAAUCUAAAACCGAUGCUAAAAACAGAUAUAAUACAAGAUAUAUAAGAAUUUAUAAGAUUGGCUUAUAUACCAUACAUAGAACUGAAUGUUCAAGAGUGCACAGGGUCUGUCUGCACAUGAGAUCCUAAGGAUCCAGUCAGAGGUCUAGAGCUCACUGCAAUGUUCCAUGCAAGUUCACAUCAGAAGGGCAGUGGAUCUGUGAGGGAAGGCUGAGAGUGAGAGAAUGUGUCAGAAGCUGAAGACUGCACUGGAAUCCAGAAGGUGACAAUCAAGGUAAAGGUGACUGGAGCAGAAGCAGAUCCAUCCUUCUUUAUUUCUCCUUCAUACCAUUCAGGUAACAAGCUGACCUAGGGUUGGCAAAUUUAGUUGAACUUCGCUUACUCAAGUUAACACAAUUGGUCAACCAUCACAGAAGCCUUCUGCUAGAUGCGUAAUAAACUUCCCCAUUAUUUUUGGCAGAAGUAAAUCCUCCAUUCAGUAAGCCAGACCUUUGAAAGUUCUGUGAGGUGGGAGAAGCUCUUGAUUAUUGAAAGAAAGGGAUAAAUAAUCAUGAUCAAUUAGCUGUGAGACAAGGCAGAGUUUAUAUAUUAGGCAAGAAUGAUAUAUAUACAGUUUGAAAGGCAGUAAGACAUGGUGAAAAGCAUGAAUUUUAUAGUCAGACAUACUUGUUACUUGAAGGCUAGUUUCACUGUUUCAUUGUUUGUGAUCUUAAUCAUUAUGAAAUGUCUUAGUCAUGUGGGACUGAUACAACUAUAGUCUGGGUGGCCUAAAAAGUAGACAUUAGUUCUCAAAAUCCUAGAAUGUGAGAAAUGGAAAAUCAGGGGAACCUAUGUAUUUGAGGUCUGCUGUGGUCCCACAUUGUGGUUUGAAGAUAACUGUUGUCUUGUUGAAUCUUUAGAUUGUAGAGAACUGAGAGAGGAGAAUCAGACUUGCUGUUUCUGUUCUUAUAAGGCCACUAAUCUCAUCAUUUGACUAUUCUCAAGAGAGACUUAAUUACUUUGAAAGAUUUUAUCUCCAAAUAGCAUCAUAUUGUUGAUUAGGGUUUCAAUACACAAAUUUUGGUUGGGUCACAAAUACUUGGUACAUACCAUCAUUCAGUCAUAGAGUAUAAGAUCUUUUAUUCAUAAAGUAGUAGUUAUCCCUAUCUUCAAAUGAUAUUUCAGGGUUUAAAUAUGAUCUUGUAAUGCUAUGGUGCUGUAAGCCUGUAGUCCUAGUUAUUCUAGAGUUAGAGGAGGAAGGGCCAUUAGUUGGGGAUGAUAUGUAGAUUUCUGGGUCAUGUGGAAUUUCUAAUUUCAGUUAUUUGGGAAAUUUCCAUAAUGGUUGUAGUAAUUUACAUUUCUACUAACAAUGAAGGAGGAUUCCUUUUCUUUUCUUUUCUUUCUUUCUUUCUUUUUUUUUUUUUUAUCACAACCUUGCCAGCAUUUGUUUUUGCUUGAUUCUUAAUGAUUGCCAUUCUUUCUGGAGUAGGAUGGAAUCUUAGCACUGUUUUUAUUUGUACUUCGCUAAUGGCCAGAGAUAUUGAACAUUUUUUCAUACAUUUGUUGACCAUUUAUAUUUCUUCCUCUGUGAAGUAUCUGUUCAUUUCUCUUGCCCAUUUCUUGACUGGAUCUUUAAUCUAUUUAAUUUUUAAAUAAUUCUUUCUAUAUGCUAGAUAUUUGUUCUCUGAGCAGUAGUUAGCAAAAAUUUUUCCCCUAUUCUGUAGGCUUUCUUUUCACUUUACUGAUUGAUUUUUUUUUUUUUGUCUUUUUCCUUUUUAUCAGUAUUGGGGAUCGAACUCAGGACUGCCUGCUUGCAAGACCAGCGCUUAUGCCGCUGAGCUAAAUCCCCAGCCCCUACUGAUUGAUUCUUUCGCUGUACAAAAGCUCUUUAGUCUGAUGUAAUUUCAUUUUUUGGUUUUUGCUGUUAUUUGUUACGCACUUGAGGUUCUAUUUAGAAAAUGUUUUCUAACACCUAUGUCUCCAAGUGUUUUAUCUAUUUUAUCAUCCAGUAGGUUUAAUGUUUGUGUUGCAUUUUGAUUUUUAAUUUAGUAUAUGGUGAGAGAUAAGUGUCCAGUUUCAAUCUUCUGCACACAGAUAUCCAGUUUCCCUAGCGCUAUUUGUUGUUUGGGCUUUUUUCCAACACAUACUUUUGGUCUCUUUGUUGAAGGUCAAAUAACUGAAGGUAUCUAGAGAAGGAUGUAUUCUUAGUUUGGUUCCAUUAAUCCAUGUGUCUGCUUUGUUCCAGUACUAUCCCAUGGUUUUUUUUUUUUUUUUUUUUUUU